rnacentral:rRNA from 1 species
UUCUCCUGGAAACGGGUGGUAAUGCCGGAUGCUCCAGUUGACCGCAUGGUCCUCUGGGAAAGCUUUAUCGGUAUGGGAUGGGGUCGCGUCCUAUCAGCUUGAUGGCGGGGUAACGGCCCACCAUGGCUUCGACGGGUAGCCGGCCUGAGAGGGCGACCGGCCACAUUGGGACUGAGAUACGGCCCAGACUCCUACGGGAGGCAGCAGUGGGGAAUAUUGCACAAUGGGCGCAAGCCUGAUGCAGCGACGCCGCGUGCGGGAUGACGGCCUUCGGGUUGUAAACCGCUUUUGACUGGGAGCAAGCCCUUCGGGGUGAGUGUACCUUUCGAAUAAGCACCGGCUAACUACGUGCCAGCAGCCGCGGUAAUACGUAGGGUGCAAGCGUUAUCCGGAAUUAUUGGGCGUAAAGGGCUCGUAAGCGGUUCGUCGCGUCCGGUGUGAAAGUCCAUCGCUUAACGGUGGAUCCGCGCCGGGUACGGGCGGGCUUGAGUGCGGUAGGGGAGACUGGAAUUCCCGGUGUAACGGUGGAAUGUGUAAAUAUCGGGAAAAACACCAA